GGCAGGUUGGGCAGUCGCGCACUUAUGUGUGAGGAAAGUCCGGGCUUCACAGAGCAGGAUAACGGCUAACGGCCGCCGAGGGUAACCUUAGGGACAGUGCAACAGAGAUAUACCGCCGCAUUUAUGCGGUAAGGGUGGAAAGGCGAGGUAAGAGCUCACCGGUCGGCGGGGAACCGCGCAGACCCUGUAAACCCUAUCCGAAGCAACACCGACAGAAACUAUCGCUUGCUCGGCGCGUUUCGACGGGUGGCGUGAGCUUUGCGGCAACGCAAAGCCAAGACAGAUGAUUGCCUUAAAAGACAGAACCCGGCUUACAGACCUGCCCG
rnacentral:RNase_P_RNA from 1 species